AAGAAAGCACUGCAAGAACUGCUAAUUCAUGCCCCCAUACCUAAACAUAUGGCUUUCUUA
rnacentral:tRNA from 1 species